GUGGGGAAUAUUGGACAAUGGGCGAAAGCCUGAUCCAGCCAUGCCGCGUGUGUGAAGAAGGUCUUCGGAUUGUAAAGCACUUUAAGUUGGGAGGAAGGGCAGUAAGUUAAUACCUUGCUGUUUUGACGUUACCGACAGAAUAAGCACCGGCUAACUUCGUGCCAGCAGCCGCGGUAAUACGAAGGGUGGAAGCGUUAAUCGGAAUUACUGGGCGUAAAGCGCGCGUAGGUGGUUUUGUAAGUUGGAGGUGAAAUCCCCGGGCUCAACCUGGGAACUGCCUCCAAAACUGCAUGACUAGAGUACGGUAGAGGGUAGUGGAAUUUCCUGUGUAGCGGUGAAAUGCGUAGAUAUAGGAAGGAACACCAGUGGCGAAGGCGACUACCUGGACUGAUACUGACACUGAGGUGCGAAAGCGUGGGGAGCAAACAGGAUUAGAAACCCUAGUAGUCC
rnacentral:rRNA from 1 species